rnacentral:rRNA from 1 species
UACGAAGGGUGCAAGCGUUACUCGGAAUUACUGGGCGUAAAGCGCACGUAGGCGGCUUUGCAAGUUAGAGGUGAAAGCCCGGGGCUCAACUCCGGAAUUGCCUUUAAAACUGCAUCGCUAGAAUUGUGGAGAGGUAAGUGGAAUUCCGAGUGUAGAGGUGAAAUUCGUAGAUAUUCGGAAGAACGCCAGUGGCGAAGGCGACUCACUGGACACGUAUUGACGCUGAGGUGCGAAAGCGUGGGGAGCAAACAGG